AGCUUUGCGCACUGGCAGUAUCGUAACCAAUGAGGUUUACCUGAGGCGCGAUUAUUGCUAUUUGGGGGAAAAAGAAAAAAUGCGUGGCUCCGUGGUUGAGCAUCAACCUAUGAGCCUGGAGGUCACAGUUCCACUCCCGGUCAGGG